UUUCCGACCACAAUAGUUGGAAAUAAGUUAAUCUUUGACCAUUUUUUCGGCUACAACAGUCGAAAUUUUAAAAGAUAAAUAAUUAAAAAUUUUAAUGUCCGACUACCGUAGUCGGACAAUAAACAGAUCUAACUGUACAUUGCCCCAUAUUAUUUCGGUCUCUCUCUCUCUCCCUCUCUACACGAUCUCCCCCUCAGCGGCAGCAACCCCUUAAUUUAGCUGCUAUUUCCAGCGAUUCGAUUCGUCCAGAUGCCGAUUCACGAGGAAAGGGCUUGUUGGAGUAGAGAUUUGUACGGUUUGAGAUCUAGGUACUUCUGGGUACGAUGGUUGCUAGCUUUGGAGCUUUUUCUGUUUGGAGACUAUUGAGGUAGCUGCCUUGGCAUCCGCAGACCUCGACUUUAAUUCUUUUCAGUUCAUUUGUACUAUUCUAUCUUUCUAGACAGUUGUUUUAGUAGUUAGAUUGUAUUGUCAGAUAUAUGCUCAUGCACUUUGUGACACUGGAUUUUGGGGAAUUUUGUAUUAAGUCGCGAUACUUUUUUAUAAGUUAUUUAUGACAUUUUCACUAUUUAAUAUUAUUA